rnacentral:tRNA from 1 species
GCAGAUAUAUUAAUUUCGGUUUGAACCCGUUGGGUUUGUGUUUAUUCACAAUGUCUGUU